rnacentral:rRNA from 1 species
CCUACGGGUGGCAGCAGUGAGGAAUAUUGGUCAAUGGGCUUACGCCUGAACCAGCCAAGUCGCGUGAGGGAAGACUGCCCUAUGGGUUGUAAACCUCUUUUGUCAGGGAGCAACGCCGGCUACGUGUACCCGGACUUAUAGUACCUGAAGAAAAAGCAUCGGCGAACUCCGUUCCAGCAGCCCCGGUAAUACGGAGGAUGCGGGGGUUAGCCGGAUUGAUUGGGUUUAAGGGGUGCGUAGGCGGAAUGCCAAGUCAGGGUGAAAAUCGCGGGGCUAAACCUCGCUCUGCCGUUGAAACUGGCGUUCUUGAGUGGGCGAGAAGAAGGCGGAAGGCGUGGUGUAGCGGUGAAAUGCAUAGAUAUCACGCAGAACUCCGAUCGCGAAGGCAGCAUACCGGCGCCCAACUGACGCUGAAGCACGAAAGCGUGGGUAUCGAACAGGAUUAGAUACCCGAGUAGUC